rnacentral:lncRNA from 10 species
AAUUUUUUGUGUACCCAUGUAAUCUACUAAUAGAGAUCAUUUUACAUCUUCCUUUCUGACUUGAAUGCCUUUUAUUUCUUUGUCUUGCUUAUUUGCUCUAGCUAGGACUUCAAGAACUAUGUUAAAUAGAAGUGACAAGAUUGGGCAUUCUUGCCUUGUUCCUGAUUUGAGAGGAAAAUUUUUCAGUUUUUAACUGUUGAGCAAGAUGUUAGCUAUGGGCUUGUCAUAUAUGGCUCUGAGAUAGCAAGAUAAAAACUAGUCCUCUCAGAUAGGCUGCCAAAAGCCAGAAAUUUGGUUGCUGGUUUUAUUUCUUUUCCUCUCCAGGAGGAAGCAAGGAGUUAGAGGUUUUCUUCUACUCUUUAUUUACUGAGCCAGAGGAAGCGACCAUGGCCAGUGAAGGGUCCAAAUUUUUGCCUUUGUUCUCAGCAGCUCUCAACUUGGCACCCCUUCCUGUCAGUGUUCUUCUAGUCAGGACAUAAACCAGUCCCUUGGGCAGCUCCUGAAAAAGUCUCAACAUUGGACAUAUGUUUCAGUCUUCUCUUUCCAUUCCAAGGGAGAAACUGAGAUCUGGGAGUUUUCUCUCAAUUGCAUUGCACUGAGGAAGAGGGCCUAUGAGAAUUUUACUAUCUGAGAAGCUGGUGGAGCCUAAAGACCUGAGGAUUUCUUCCUAGCUGCAGCAGAACACGAAUAUCAAUAAGUUCCAAUUGAAGAGCGGAUUCUUUUGCAAUUCAGGCAUGUGCCGGCGAUAACGGGCGAGUUGGCAUGAAGAGAGGCAGAGAUGGAUUAAUUAUGCAGAGAACAUGGAAAUUCUGCUUAUCAUCGGCUAGCAAAGGAGCCCGGCUCACAUAAUCAGCAAACGAAGGGAGAGGAAAAAAUAACAAUGCAAUGGCACCUUCCAGCCCAUCAUCAGGAUUUUUUCUACCCCCUUGUAAUUAAAAAAUAACAUACACUUAUAGCCCUAUCUCCUGUGCAGGCAAGGAGUGGAUGUCCACAAAAUAAUUGCACUGGGAUAUUAGAGCUGGCGACACGGGCUGUCCAUUCCGGCUUGCUCUCCUGCUCACCCUCUCUUUCUCUUUUGGCCUCUCAGGCACUUUGCUUCUGAACCCAGUCCAAAUCAGAGAGACGUCUCAGGUGACAUUCAAGCUCGGUUUCCAAAAAUCCCAAAUUGGUACCUUAUCAUGAUCCAAGCAAACAUACAUACAUAUAUGAUAAAUAUUUGGAGGGCUGACUCUAGAGGAGGCUUUGGAACUGAUCACCUGUGGACUAUCUGGUCAGUUUCAUUUUUUAUGAAACAUGUCCAAAUAGCCUUCAUUUUGCAAAGUGGCUGGAUUAAAAUGGUGGCUGUGCAACGGCUGUGCUAUCUUCUCAAAUCAUUUAACUUACCUACAAGUUUUUGUUUCUAUUCCCUUUGCCAACUCAUUUUAUAAAUGUUAAGUUAAUGAUUGCAAUGUCUGCACCUCAAAAUCAGAAUUCGCAAUUCUGUAUUGUCAUUGUAAAAUCUGACAGCUCAAUGCCUUGUAUUUCUCUAAAUGCCAAAAGACUACAAUAAACCUAGUUUAUUGCUUUAAAGAAAA